GGAGAAGAUCUCAAGAGAGGGAGGUUACCAAGGUUGGGCAGUGCCCACCCUGAGAAAAGCUCUGUCCACCCAAUGAAAACUCAAGAUAAACUGAU